GAUGAACGCUGGCGGCGUGCUUAACACAUGCAAGUCGAACGAAGCACUUUAUUUGAUUUCCUUCGGGACUGAUUAUUUUGUGACUGAGUGGCGGACGGGUGAGUAACGCGUGGGUAACCUGCCUUGUACAGGGGGAUAACAGUUGGAAACGGCUGCUAAUACCGCAUAAGCGCACAGCAUCGCAUGAUGCAGUGUGAAAAACUCCGGUGGUAUAAGAUGGACCCGCGUUGGAUUAGCUAGUUGGUGAGGUAACGGCCCACCAAGGCGACGAUCCAUAGCCGAUCUGAGAGGGUGACCGGCCACAUUGGGACUGAGACACGGCCCAAACUCCUACGGGAGGCAGCAGUGGGGAAUAUUGCACAAUGGGCGAAAGCCUGAUGCAGCGACGCCGCGUGAGCGAAGAAGUAUUUCGGUAUGUAAAGCUCUAUCAGCAGGGAAGAUAAUGACGGUACCUGACGAAGAAGCACCGGCUAAAUACGUG
rnacentral:rRNA from 1 species